AUUGAACGCUGGCGGCAGGCCUAACACAUGCAAGUCGAACGGUAACAGGAAGCAGCUUGCUGCUUCGCUGACGAGUGGCGGACGGGUGAGUAAUGUCUGGGAAACUGCCUGAUGGAGGGGGAUAACUACUGGAAACGGUAGCUAAUACCGCAUAACGUCGCAAGACCAAAGAGGGGGACCUUAGGGCCUCUUGCCAUCGGAUGUGCCCAGAUGGGAUUAGCUAGUAGGUGGGGUAACGGCUCACCUAGGCGACGAUCCCUAGCUGGUCUGAGAGGAUGACCAGCCACACUGGAACUGAGACACGGUCCAGACUCCUACGGGAGGCAGCAGUGGGGAAUAUUGCACAAUGGGCGCAGGCCUGAUGCAGCCAUGCCGCGUGUAUGAAGAAGGCCUUCGGGUUGUAAAGUACUUUCAGCGGGGAGGAAGGGAGUAAAGUUAAUACCUUUGCUCAUUGACGUUACCCGCAGAAGAAGCACCGGCUAACUCCGUGCCAGCAGCCGCGGUAAUACGGAGGGUGCAAGCGUUAAUCGGAAUUACUGGGCGUAAAGCGCACGCAGGCGGUUUGUUAAGUCAGAUGUGAAAUCCCCGGGCUCAACCUGGGAACUGCAUCUGAUACUGGCAAGCUUGAGUCUCGUAGAGGGGGGUAGAAUUCCAGGUGUAGCGGUGAAAUGCGUAGAGAUCUGGAGGAAUACCGGUGGCGAAGGCGGCCCCCUGGACGAAGACUGACGCUCAGGUGCGAAAGCGUGGGGAGCAAACAGG
rnacentral:rRNA from 1 species